AGCUUUGCGCAGUGGCAGUAUCGUAGCCAAUGAGGUUUAUCCGAGGCGCGAUUAUUGCUAAUUGAAAUUAGUCAUUCCUAUUAAUUUUCUAAGAUUCUGUGAUAUCUUUCUCUCUGAAUAUGAAUCUAUGUAUCAUCCAGAC